UCAUUCAAUCAUUCCAUGUGAUGGAAAGCCUGCAGUGGAACGCUGCACAACAUGCUGCAGUCAGUUUCACUGCCCCCUUUGUCCCAAAGGCAUGUUUAAACUAAGCCAGACUUCAGCGGCAUUUGGAGGUCCACAUUAAAAAUGCCAUUGCAUUUCAAGGAUGAAGAGUAGCAGGCUGAGGUCUCAGUCAGACCUGCCGACGUGGACACACCAGUGGAAGGGACAUGCAGCAGAGUGGGUUGAGGCCAACAAACAACUGUUCUCUGCCAAAGUGGACCUGUCUGAUGUUCUGUACAUGGGGGAAGGAGAACCAGGCUGAGGCUGCUCUGCAGUAUGAGAGGGUGUGGAAAGAUCAACUGG